AUUGAACGCUGGCGGCAGGCCUAACACAUGCAAGUCGAACGGUAGCACAGAGAGCUUGCUCUCGGGUGACGAGUGGCGGACGGGUGAGUAACGUCUGGGAAACUGCCCGAUGGAGGGGGAUAACUACUGGAAACGGUAGCUAAUACCGCAUAACGUCGCAAGACCAAAGUGGGGGACCUUCGGGCCUCACACCAUCGGAUGUGCCCAGAUGGGAUUAGCUAGUAGGUGGGGUAAUGGCUCACCUAGGCGACGAUCCCUAGCUGGUCUGAGAGGAUGACCAGCCACACUGGAACUGAGACACGGUCCAGACUCCUACGGGAGGCAGCAGUGGGGAAUAUUGCACAAUGGGCGCAAGCCUGAUGCAGCCAUGCCGCGUGUAUGAAGAAGGCCUUCGGGUUGUAAAGUACUUUCAGCGGGGAGGAAGGCGGUGAAGUUAAUAACUUCACCGAUUGACGUUACCCGCAGAAGAAGCACCGGCUAACUCCGUGCGAGCAGCCGCCGCCG
rnacentral:rRNA from 1 species